rnacentral:rRNA from 1 species
CCUACGGGAGGCAGCAGUAGGGAAUAUUGCUCAAUGGGGGAAACCCUGAAGCAGCAACGCCGCGUGGAGGAUGAAGGUUUUCGGAUUGUAAACUCCUUUCGUUAGAGAAGAUAAUGACGGUAUCUAACGAAUAAGCACCGGCUAACUCCGUGCCAGCAGCCGCGGUAAUACGGAGGGUGCAAGCGUUACCCGGAAUUACUGGGCAUAAAGAGCGCGUAGACGGGAUAGCAAGUCAGAUGUGAAAUCCGAUGGCGUAACCAUAGAACUGCAUUUGAAACUGUUAUGCUAGAGUAUGGGAGAGGUAGGUGGAAUUCUUGGUGUAGGGGUAAAAUGCGUAGAGAUCAAGAGGAAUACUCAUUGCGAAGGCGACCUGCUAGAACAUAACUGACGCUGAUGCGCGAAAGCGUGGGGAGCAAACAGGAUUAGAUACCCGAGUAGUC